GCAGACCGAGACCCGCGGCGUGGGCAGGGCGUGGCUGCAGUCAGGGUUUGGUGUCCGCCCUUUUUUCCCGCAUCUGUAUCUUUUCGCUUUAGUUGGAAAUCAUCGCGUAUUGUUUUCAUCUAAACAGCUAGGAAAGCUUUGGGAGAAGUGACAGGGCCUUUUCCGGCGUCUGCCUGCUCCCUUCUAAUUUGUGAGCUCGAAAUUUGGGCGGUGGUGUUGGAAAUGGAAGAAAGGUGGAAAGAAAGAUGCUGGUUUUCUUAACCUCUUUCGGGAGCCUUCUUGGAUGAGCCUAAGCAGCGGCUAACGUACCGAACUCAGUACUCUCCGAACAUUGCCACAAGCUGUUGAGUGAUUUUCCCAAAACCACUCAGCAAGGAUGGGCUCGAACAUGGAAUCAGACACUGGUCCCCUGACUCCAAAUCUGUAGGUGUCUCACUUGGGAUAAAAGAAUGAAGUCGCUCCCAAUUUCUGGCAAAUUCCCUAAAGAAGAAAGAAUUGUAAUUCUGGGCCUCAUUCUCUGCAUAUUACAGAUAAAUUUAGUUUUGAGCA